GAACAUGCUGGAAAGCAUGGCCAUAGCGGGUGACAGCCCCGUAUUCCAAGCUCGAUGGAACGUAUUAAGUAGGGCGGAACACGUGAAAUCCUGUCUGAACAUGGGGGGACCACCCUCCAAGCCUAAAUACUCGUACAUGACCGAUAGCGAACACAGUACCGUGAGGGAAAGGUGAAAAGUACUCCGAAUAGGAGGGUGAAAUAGAACCUGAAACCGUGCGCUUACAAGCGGUCGGAGCGGAGCGAUUCCGUGACGGCGUGCCUUUUGCAUAAUGAGCCUACGA
rnacentral:rRNA from 1 species